ensembl:lncRNA
CUCUAUGGAGGUGGUUUAGUCAGACAGCGGCUCUAUGGAGGUGGUUUAGUCAGACAGCGGCUCUAUGGAGGUGGUUUAGUCAGACAGCGGCUCUAUGGAGGUGGUUUAGUCAGACAGCGGCUCUAUGGAGGUGGUUUAGUCAGACUAGAGUUCUAUGGAGGUGGUUUAGUCAGACAGCAGCUCUAUAGAGGUGGUUUAGUCAGACAGCGGCUCUAUAGAGGUGGUUUAAUCAGGCAGCGGCUCUAUAGAGGUGGUUUAAUCAGACUAGAGCCCUAUAGAGGUGGUUUAGUCAGACAGCAGCUCUAUAGAGGUGGUUUAGUCAGACUAGAGCUCUAUAGAGGAGAGGUGGUUUAGUCAGACAGCAGCUCUAUAGAGGAGAGGUGGUUUAGUCAGACAGCAGCUCUAUAGAGGUGGUUUAGUCAGACAGCAGCUCUAUAGAGGUGGUUUAGUCAGACAGCGGCUCUAUAGAGGUGGUUUAG